rnacentral:sRNA from 2 species
CUAUUGUUGUUUGUAUCAUCCUCCCUCAACAACCGACUGUUCGGCUGAUUCUUCUCCUUGUCAUCCCAUGGUUGGUAUCGUUCUUCGUAUUCUUGAUGUCCACGCAGCUCUGGCUUCCCAUCCCGCGUCCCGACCUCAUCACCAAACUCCAUUUUCAUCGGCGAGAGCUCGUCGUCUGUAUCAAACCCGCCGGGAACCCUGGACGACCUCCGUUUCUGCGCAGCGGGAGGUUUAUUCAUGAGACUUGGGUUUGUACCCAGGAGAACAGGAGGGGAGUGCAAAUCCGGAGCCGAACGUGAGGCUGCCAUGGCUGCUCUUGAUGUUGUGGUCGUUGGUUAGAGAUGUGGUUAGAGAUGUGGUUCGCGAUGAUUUGUUGUCAUGCCGUCAACAGUAAAUCUAGCGCAGGUCUGAGGCUAUGUACGUAUGUUGCAGCUAUUGUAAUAGGCCCAGCCAAUUGGUUUGGUUGCCGCAGGUGCUUAGAGCAUGGUGGUGGAACUGUGGGGUUUGCUGGGCGUUGUUGUUGAUGAUUGUUGUUGUUGAUGUUGAUGAUUGUUGUUGGCGAUGCUGCUCUGAGGCUCUGGCCGUGUCCCCGGCGUCAUCGGCUCACUGACUUUUGGUUCAGGGGAGGCGGGACCAAGCCCAACAGCCCAACAGCUAUGGAAAUGGAAAUGG